rnacentral:misc_RNA from 1 species
AUUUUUUGGAUGGAUAAAAUAAAAUAUUUUACAUGGACCCAUCAAAAAAAUCUAAUCAUCUUAUUCUCUAACUAGUACAGCAUGACAACCCACCCAUACCACAAAAAAUAAUGCAGAAACAUAAAAUCCAGCCUACAAAAUCAUGCUAUAACAAAAAAGUUUGCUAUACGAAGGAAGUGCCUGCAAGGCCAUGAUGCAAAAGAUUGUGGGCAAUGUGAUCCCUGGCCUGGAUUGCACCUAAUGAUCUCAGGCCAUUUUCAGGGAUCAUCUCAUCGUCGAAAAGAUCAAACUUAAGCUCUGGAUCAAUCUCCUCAUUUCUCAUCUCGCAAAUGUUGUGCAAGACACAACAGGCCCCAAGAACCACUGGCAAGUCCUGGAGCUUCACUUCAGUUCUCUUCUGCAAGCAAGACCACCUGCCUUUCAGUCUAGCGAAUGCUUCCUUGGCCACCCUUUGAACCUCGCCAAUCUUCUCAUUGAAUGCGUGCUGUGUCCAUGUCAAAUUCUGGUGGGUGUAAGGUACCAGAACCCAGUCCAUUAGCGGGAACCCAGAAUUCCCAACAAUCCAGACAUCCUUCAAAGCCCCCCUACUAGCCCUCUGGUACAAGGCAGACUUCUCCAACACCUGGUCAUCAGGCAUUGAGCCAGGCCAGCCAAUGCAAACAUCAGUGAAAACGCCUCUUGGAUCAACAACGCCUUGAACUGUUAUGGAAUAGGAUGUCUUCUGAUUCCUCUCGGUGUGCCUCUUAUUGAAAUAAGCCGCCACGCUAAUCUUUGGUGCGAUAAUUGGAACAUGGGUAGUGUACAUUGAGCCACCAACAUUUGGUAUCCCUGACAUUGAUUCAUGCUCGCUCUUAAUCAUCCUCAUUUUCUCCUCAUCAGGCCAUUGAAGGAACUUGGGCAUCAAUACAGUCUUUAUAGCCGAGCAGACCUCUAAAACCAAUUUAUGGCAAGUAGAGAUCCCCAAUCCAAAUCUCUUCGACACUAGUCGCAAAGGCUCACCCGUGGCCAGCCUCCAAAUACAAACCGCAACGCGUUGGCGAACAGGAAUGGCGUCGCGCAACAUUGUGUUCUUUUUUUGUGACAACAGAAUCCAACUCGUGGCAGAUCAUCUCAAACGUGGCCUUGCUCAUUCGAAAUGCUUUCUUGAACUCCUCCUCUGGGAAAUCCGAGUGGCUAAUUUGCUCCCACCAGUCCUUUGACCUGUCCUUCACCCAUAGCCGCCUGUGCUGGCCUGAACCCCCAGACCCCCCACUAGCACUGGCGCCACUAUUCUGAGCUGAAUCCCCAGAAGCCGCAUUUUCACUCGCCACCGCGGCAACAGCGGAAGCGGAGCGGCGCGCCCGCUUAGUUCUGGAAUGAUCCAUUUCAUCCAAAUUGGAGUAGUGGGUCUGGAGUUGAGAAUUAUAAUCAUUCAUAGCUUGGAGUUUCCGCUCGUAAUUGGAAUCAAAUAGGGCCUUAUCUUGCUCAGAAUCAAUAACCCACUGCUGCUCCUCUUGCUUCUCCUCCUCAUCCAGCAUCAAAAUAGAAGCAAAUAUAUCUCUCAUUGCACUCUUCUUCAAAUCCUCUUCCAUUGAUUGUUGGAAAUGGUCUUUAUUACCAUCUCCACCAUCGUCUUCUCCCCUCCUCUUACGCUUCUUCGAAUCGUUGUUCACACUAUAGGUUCCACCAUUACUAGUAUCCAUGUCUUGAAAUAAACUAUAGAAGUAUGAAAUCUCUUCCUGAUUAAGAAAUGGGAAAGAUGAAACUUCCAUCCAAGUGAAAGCAAGAAAAAGUGUUUGAGAAAAUGUCUGAAAGGAAGAUGUGAACUCUGAAAAAUGGUAUUCAGAUUUGUUAAUUGAAAGAGCAGAUUACAUGAAGCUGAUGGGAUUUAGGGGAAUUUUAUUCUUAUAUAUGUAAGGAAGCGCGUGCGGGCAAGUGUGAACGCGGUAACGUGGGACUCUGUGGACGGUGACUUGGACUUUUUUUGGUAUUAUUAUAUUAUCUUAAGCUUACGCGGUUGAUG